rnacentral:tRNA from 1 species
GGCCAGAUAGCUCAGUAGGUAGAGCAGAGGACUGAAAAUCCUUGUGUCGCUGGUUCGAUUCCAGUUCUGGCCA